rnacentral:sRNA from 1 species
GCUGGGAGCAGUAGCGCACGCCUGUGAUCCUAGCUGCUUGGGAGGCCGAGGCAGGAGGAUCAGGAGUUCGAAGCCAGCCUCCCCAACUUAGUGAGGCACUUAGCAACUCAGUGAGACCCUGGCUCUA